rnacentral:rRNA from 1 species
AGCGAGGCGAACCGGGAGAACUGAAACAUCUAAGUACCCCGAGGAAAAGAAAUCAACCGAGAUUCCCUCAGUAGCGGCGAGCGAACGGGGAUUAGCCCUUAAGCAUCUUGGAAGUUAGUGGAACGGUCCUGGAAAGGCCGGCGAUACAGGGUGAUAGCCCCGUACACGAAAACAACCUUGAUGUGAAAUCGAGUAGGGCGGGACACGUGACAUCCUGUCUGAAUAUGGGGGGACCAUCCUCCAAGGCUAAAUACUCCUGACUGACCGAUAGUGAACCAGUACCGUGAGGGAAAGGCGAAAAGAACCCCUGUGAGGGGAGUGAAAUAGAACCUGAAACCGUGUACGUACAAGCAGUGGGAGCCCUUCGGGGUGACUGCGUACCUUUUGUAUAAUGGGUCAGCGACUUACAUUUUGUAGCGAGGUUAACCGUAUAGGGGAGCCGUAGGGAAACCGAGUCUUAACUGGGCGUCUAGUUGCAAGGUGUAGACCCGAAACCGGGUGAUCUAGCCAUGGGCAGGUUGAAGGUUGAGUAACAUCAACUGGAGGACCGAACCCACUAACGUUGCAAAGUUAGGGGAUGACCUGUGGCUGGGGGUGAAAGGCCAAUC